rnacentral:rRNA from 1 species
AGAGUUUGAUCCUGGCUCAGAUUGAACGCUGGCGGCAGGCUUAACACAUGCAAGUCGAGCGGAAACGAUUCUAGCUUGCUAGAAGGCGUCGAGCGGCGGACGGGUGAGUAAUGCAUGGGAAUCUGCCCGAUAGUGGGGGACAACCUGGGGAAACUCAGGCUAAUACCGCAUACGUCCUACGGGAGAAAGCAGGGGAUCUUCGGACCUUGCGCUAUCGGAUGAGCCCAUGUCGGAUUAGCUUGUUGGUGAGGUAACGGCUCACCAAGGCGACGAUCCGUAGCUGGUCUGAGAGGAUGAUCAGCCACACUGGGACUGAGACACGGCCCAGACUCCUACGGGAGGCAGCAGUGGGGAAUAUUGGACAAUGGGCGAAAGCCUGAUCCAGCCAUGCCGCGUGUGUGAAGAAGGCCUUCGGGUUGUAAAGCACUUUCAGCGAGGAAGAACGCUUCGGGAUUAAUACUCCCGAGGAAAGACAUCACUCGCAGAAGAAGCACCGGCUAACUCCGUGCCAGCAGCCGCGGUAAUAC